GAUGAACGCUGGCGGCGUGCCUAAUACAUGCAAGUCGAACGAGAUCUUCGGAUCUAGUGGCGAACGGGUGAGUAACGCGUUGGUACCUACCCUGAAGUGGGGAAUAACUGGCCGAAAGGUCGGCUAAUACCGCAUAAUACCGCAAGGUUAAAGUCGUAAGACGCUUCGGGAGGGGCCUGCGUCCCAUUAGCUAGUUGGUGAGGUAACUGCUCACCAAGGCGACGAUGGGUAGCUGGAUCGAGAGGUUGACCAGCUACACUGGGACUGAGAUACGGCCCAGCCUCCUACGGGAGGCAGCAGUAAGGAAUCUUCCACAAUGGGCGAAAGCCUGAUGGAGCAACGCCGCGUGCAGGAUGACGGUCUUCGGAUUGUAAACUGCUUUUAUAUGGGAAGAUUAUGACGGUACCAUAUGAAUAAGCACCGGCUAGCUACGUGCCAGCAGCCGCCGUAA
rnacentral:rRNA from 1 species